rnacentral:rRNA from 1 species
GGGAAGGGGCAGCUACCAUGCAAGUCGAGCGGUAGAGAGAAGCUUGCUUCUCUUGAGAGCGGCGGACGGGUGAGUAAUGCCUAGGAAUCUGCCUGGUAGUGGGGGAUAACGUUCGGAAACGAACGCUAAUACCGCAUACGUCCUACGGGAGAAAGCAGGGGACCUUCGGGCCUUGCGCUAUCAGAUGAGCCUAGGUCGGAUUAGCUAGUUGGUGAGGUAAUGGCUCACCAAGGCGACGAUCCGUAACUGGUCUGAGAGGAUGAUCAGUCACACUGGAACUGAGACACGGUCCAGACUCCUACGGGAGGCAGCAGUGGGGAAUAUUGGACAAUGGGCGAAAGCCUGAUCCAGCCAUGCCGCGUGUGUGAAGAAGGUCUUCGGAUUGUAAAGCACUUUAAGUUGGGAGGAAGGGCAUUAACCUAAUACGUUAGUGUUUUGACGUUACCGACAGAAUAAGCACCGGCUAACUCUGUGCCAGCAGCCGCGGUAAUACAGAGGGUGCAAGCGUUAAUCGGAAUUACUGGGCGUAAAGCGCGCGUAGGUGGUUUGUUAAGUUGGAUGUGAAAUCCCCGGGCUCAACCUGGGAACUGCAUUCAAAACUGACUGACUAGAGUAUGGUAGAGGGUGGUGGAAUUUCCUGUGUAGCGGUGAAAUGCGUAGAUAUAGGAAGGAACACCAGUGGCGAAGGCGACCACCUGGACUAAUACUGACACUGAGGUGCGAAAGCGUGGGGAGCAAACAGGAUUAGAUACCCUGGUAGUCCACGCCGUAAACGAUGUCAACUAGCCGUUGGAAGCCUUGAGCUUUUAGUGGCGCAGCUAACGCAUUAAGUUGACCGCCUGGGGAGUACGGCCGCAAGGUUAAAACUCAAAUGAAUUGACGGGGGCCCGCACAAGCGGUGGAGCAUGGGGGUUUAAUUCGAAGCAACGCGAAGAACCUUACCAGGGCCUUGACAUCCAAUGAACUUUCUAGAGAUAGAUUGGUGCCUUUCGGGACAUUGAGACAGGUGCUUGCAUGGCUGUCGUCAGCUCGUGUCGUGAAGAUGGUUUGGGUUUAAGUCCGUACGAGCGCACCCUUGUCUUAGUUACUAGCACGUAAUGUGGGCACUCUAAGGAGACUG